rnacentral:rRNA from 1 species
GAUGAACGCUGGCGGCGUGCCUAAUACAUGCAAGUCGAGCGAACAGACGAUGACCUUGCUCCCCUGACGUUAGCGUCUGACGUGCGAGUAACAGGUUGAUAACCAACUUAUAAGACUGGGAGAACGUCGGGAAACCUGAGCUAGUACCGUAUAAUAGCUUGAACCGCAUUGUUCAAUAGUAAUAGAUUGUUUUGCUCUCACUCAUAGAUACAUCCGCGCCGUAUUAGCUAGUUGGUAAGGUAACGGCUUACCAAGGCAACGAUGCGUAGCCGACCUGAGAGGGUGAUCGGCCACACUGGAACUGAGACACGGCCCAGACUCCUACGGGAGGCAGCAGUAGGGAAUCUUCCGCAAUGGGCGAAAGCCUGACGGAGCAACGCCGCGUGAGUGAUGAAGGUCUUCGGAUCGUAAAACUCUGUUAUUAGGGAAGAACAAAUGUGUAAGUAAAUAUGCACGUCUUGACGGUAACUAAUCAGAAAGCCACGGCUAACUACGUG